CGGGGUCUAUGGAUGAUCAUUAAGAUUCAUGGCCUAGAGAAGCAACUUUCAUUGCACUUAGAAAGGGUGUUUCUCUAAGGUCUGUCCAUGUGACAGAGCCUACGUCAUAAUUUGUGGUAGUAGGGACCUGCGUCCGCGCGGUCCCUUUAAUUGAUUUUCUAUGCUCUUCAACCCACUGUAACCAUUCUCUACAGGGGAAAGGUUCGAUCAAGCAUGCACUCACUUCUGCAUACUUCUUCCACAUCCAGACAACACAAAAAAAUA